rnacentral:misc_RNA from 1 species
GCAAUAAUCUUGGGCACGAGAUAGUCAGCGUCAUCGUUAGUAUCGUCACGAGCGAUACCUAACAAAACGACGAGACCUUUUUCGAUCUCGCCGACAAUUUGCCCCUCAAUCGUAACGCUUGCCCGCGUCACACGUUGAACUACCGCUC